UUACUAUUUUCAGUCAUCGCCCAAGGUGCAGUUGCACUCGUUUUGCAAAGAAUUAAAGUGCAGCCUAGAUUUGCGACCUGAUAGAGACAGCGAGAGAUAAUCAAGGAGCGAGAGCAAAAGAGAGAGAGAGAAGCACUUGUGUUCUGAUUUUAUUGGUUUACUUUCUGCGCAGCGAAAUGUAGCACAAGGCAACAGGUUUUUUUUUUGUUGCAAGCCACAAACUACAAAAUAGGCGAAGGCCAAUUUCGUAGCGAGUGCAACUGAAAUGUAAAUGGAAGUGGAGAUGCAACUUGGGCGAACUUGGCCCAAAGCAAUAAUUAGAUAAGCACACAUACACACACACACAUACAAGACUCAGAUUCAACACAACACAAAACGGUCAAUCAAGGAACAAAAAAAGAAUGAACUUUGAUAAAUCUGGAUGGAUGAUAUUAAUAAUGAUUUAAGCCAAGUUUGCGUUGGAGACACCGACACCGACACCGCGAUAGCGACAAUGACAACGAAAACAACGACGGCGCUGGGCACUGGACUUGUCAGCUCGAGAGCAGAAGAACAUUUGGCCGUCCCGAAAGCCAGAACAGGCAACAACAGGCUGCCAGCCAGCCAACAGUUGGUAACGACGACGACGUCGUCCACGAUGCCAGGCUAGACUAGACCACUGCCAACUGCUAUCUGCCAGCUGCCUUUCCAUUCCACUUUUUCCACUUUGGCAACUUGCUAAAAGUCAACGGUAAAAUAACGAAGCUCGUAUCAAUUGGGCCAAACUGGCCGCAACAAUAAUUCUUGUCUCAUGCUCUUGAACCUGGUCACUUGUUGUGGCCAGUUGGCCGAAAACGCUGAAGAUGCCGCCGCUUGGGGGCAAGCUGAGAGAGAAAGGGAAUUGAUCAAUGCCAGUGAAAACUACAGCGAAUUUCGUCAGCUAUAGAUAUUAAUGAAGAAUGGGCGGACUUGAAGCGAAACUCUUGACAGAGAAUUUACAAGUUGAGUGGAACUAAUAGGGAAUUGGAAAUUAGGGAAUUUCUUAUAACAUACGAACAAUUUUAUAUAUAACAAUU